UACGAAGGGUGCAAGCGUUAUUCGGAAUCAUUGGGCGUAAAGCGCGCGCAGGCGGAUUUGUAAGUCAGGUGUGAAAUCUCGAGGCUCAACCUCGAAACUGCGCCUGAAACUACAAGUCUAGAAUGUCGGAGGGGGCAGGGGAAUUUCACGUGUAGGGGUAAAAUCCGUAGAGAUGUGAAGGAACACCGGAGGCGAAGGCGCCUGCCUGGACGACUAUUGACGCUGAGGAGCGAAAGCCAGGGGGAGCAAAACGGGG
rnacentral:rRNA from 1 species